CUGCUUUUAGUUCAGUUGGUUAGAGCAUGUCGCCGAUGACGCUAAGGUUGCAGGUUCGAUCCCCAUAUGGGAGA